rnacentral:rRNA from 1 species
UACGAAGGGGGCUAGCGUUGCUCGGAAUCACUGGGCGUAAAGGGUGCGUAGGCGGGUCUUUAAGUCAGGGGUGAAAUCCUGGAGCUCAACUCCAGAACUGCCUUUGAUACUGAGGAUCUUGAGUACGGGAGAGGUGAGUGGAACUGCGAGUGUAGAGGUGAAAUUCGUAGAUAUUCGCAAGAACACCAGUGGCGAAGGCGGCUCAGUGGCCCGUAACUGACGCUGAGGCACGAAAGCGUGGGGAGCAAACAGG